UUUACACGGAUGGCCCCCAAUGAAGCCUUUGUAUUUAAUCCAUGUAUCACCUGCAGUUCUGCAGUACAAUGUAAAGAAUGAGGGUGAGAGAACAUUUGCCAUGGUAGGUGGUCGCCUCAACACUAUUCAGCAGCCCUUACAUAGAAUAUUGUACAAAGUCUGAUCUUCAUGUAAGAUGGUGAAAGUGGAGGCAGAUGUGUACACAGAAGAUAAAGAGCUACAGCGCAAUGAUAAAGAUCAGCCCAUUUCUUACUGCCUGCAACACAAGGUCCUGGUGCCACCAGGUGCAUGGUAAAAACCUAUCCAUUCCUCUCCCCUACACUGGAACUCACUACCCCCACAUCCAAACCUUCAAGAGUAACCUGAGAACCCACCUUUUCAGGAAAGCCUACCAUCUGCAAUAGCAUGCUGCCACCACACUGCCACAUGAGCAGCCUAUACAGUCACCUACUGUGUUCUCCCCUUAUAGAUUGUAAGCUCUGGCGAUCAGGGUCCUCUACCCCUCUGUACCAGUCUGUUAAUAGUUUCUUGUUUACUGUAUUUUUUUAUUUAUGUAACCUCAUCUAGAUGUACAGCGCCAUGGAAUUAAUGGCGCUUUAAAAUAAAUAAUAAUAAUAAUAAUCGAAUGUGCUAACGAGUCAAUCAGAUCCACAGGAGUAAUAU